rnacentral:rRNA from 1 species
AUUUUUUUGCAAUGGGCGAAAGCCUGACGGAGCAAUACCGCGUGGGGGAAGAAGGUUUUUGGAUUGUAAACCCCUUUUCUCAGGGAAGAAGAUCUGACGGUACCUGAGGAAUAAGCAUCGGCUAACUCCGUGCCAGCAGCCGCGGUAAUACGGAGGAUGCAAGCGUUAUCCGGAAUUAUUGGGCGUAAAGAGUCCGUAGGCGGCCCGGCAAGUCUGCUGUCAAAGAAUGGAGCUUAACUCCAUAAGGGCAGUGGAAACUGCAGAGCUAGAGUCUAGGAGGGGUAGAGGGAAUUCCCAGUGUAGCGGUGAAAUGCGUAGAGAUUGGGAAGAACACCGGCGGCGAAAGCGCUCUACUGGACUAGAACUGACG